AGUAGUCGCUGAUAUAUCUCUCUGAAUUACUGUCAUGCAGGUCUUGAUUAGAUGGAGAUAGCACCAUGAUCGGUAUAAAGACAGAGAUACAGCACUUAUCUCUCUUCUUUGUUCCCUUCUCCUAUUGUGGAUGAGCGACAAGGAUAUAAAGGCAGAAUCAUCAAGGUCUGACUGACGCCUGGAAAGUUAAAGCCCCAGGUAGAAUUUAAAGUGCUGACUGAAAAAUACUAUUUCUGCAUAGCUGGCAAGAGGUUAACACAGAGCUUUUCUGUUUUUUAAAAGUCGUAUUUCAUUUAGUUUCCAACCUGGUCACAAUAAUAGUAUUCAAGGUGAUAGGGCUUCUGAAGAGAGCCUGUAAACUGAGACAAUCACACGAGUGGUAGACAGGCUGCCUGGAAUCCCACAAGAUUUUCCCAGAAAACCCACAUUGUUGGAGCUAUAUAGAACUGCUCUAAGAAGUGCCAUGUGCUCACAUGGGAAAAGAUGGUAUGUGGUGUUGGAAUCUAAAGUUACCUGCUUCAAUAGAUAUUUUUGUAAAUGAACCAUUAACAAAAGAAGUCUACAAAAAGUAAUGUCACUACAUAAAAAUAACUGUUACACACCGUAAA